GGCGGCCCAAGUGGUGGCCGCUAUUAUUGGGCCUAAAGCGUCCGUAGCCGGGCCCGUAAGUCCCUGGCGAAAUCCCACGGCUCAACCGUGGGGCUUGCUGGGGAUACUGCGGGCCUUGGGACCGGGAGAGGCCGGGGGUACCCCUGGGGUAGGGGUGAAAUCCUAUAAUCCCAGGGGGACCGCCAGUGGCGAAGGCGCCCGGCUGGAACGGGUCCGACGGUGAGGGACGAAGGCCAGGGGAGCGAACCG
rnacentral:rRNA from 1 species